rnacentral:rRNA from 1 species
UACGUAGGGGGCUAGCGUUGUCCGGAAUCAUUGGGCGUAAAGAGCGUGUAGGCGGUCCGGUAAGUCCGCUGUGAAAGUCGGGGGCUCAACCCUCGAAUGCCGGUGGAUACUGUCGGGCUAGAGUGCGGAAGAGGCGAGUGGAAUUCCUGGUGUAGCGGUGAAAUGCGCAGAUAUCAGGAGGAACACCUAUUGCGAAGGCGACACACUGGCCCGUUACUGACGCUGAGGCGCGAAAGCGUGGGGAGCAAACAGG